AGGGCGCACGGUGGAUGCCUUGGCACUAGAAGCCGAUGAAGGACGUUACUAACGACGAUAUGCUUUGGGGAGCUGUAAGUAAGCUUUGAUCCAGAGAUUUCCGAAUGGGGAAACCCAGCAUGAGUUAUGUCAUGUUAUCGAUAUGUGAAUACAUAGCAUAUCAGAAGGCACACCCGGAGAACUGAAACAUCUUAGUACCCGGAGGAAGAGAAAGAAAAUUCGAUUCCCUUAGUAGCGGCGAGCGAAACGGGAAGAGCCCAAACCAACAAGCUUGCUUGUUGGGGUUGUAGGACACUCUAUACGGAGUUACAAAGGACGACAUUAGACGAAUCAUCUGGAAAGAUGAAUCAAAGAAGGUAAUAAUCCUGUAGUCGAAAAUGUUGUCUCUCUUGAGUGGAUCCUGAGUACGACGGAGCACGUGAAAUUCCGUCGGAAUCUGGGAGGACCAUCUCCUAAGGCUAAAUACUCUCUAGUGACCGAUAGUGAACCAGUACCGUGAGGGAAAGGUGAAAAGCACCCCGGAAGGGGAGUGAAAUAGAACCUGAAACCGUGUGCUUACAAGUAGUCAGAGCCCGUUAAUGGGUGAUGGCGUGCCUUUUGUAGAAUGAACCGGCGAGUUACGAUUUGAUGCAAGGUUAAGCAGUAAAUGUGGAGCCGUAGCGAAAGCGAGUCUGAAUAGGGCGUUUAGUAUUUGGUCGUAGACCCGAAACCAGGUGAUCUACCCUUGGUCAGGUUGAAGUUCAGGUAACACUGAAUGGAGGACCGAACCGACUUACGUUGAAAAGUGAGCGGAUGAACUGAGGGUAGCGGAGAAAUUCCAAUCGAACCUGGAGAUAGCUGGUUCUCUCCGAAAUAGCUUUAGGGCUAGCCUCAAGUGAUGAUUAUUGGAGGUAGAGCACUGUUUGGACGAGGGGCCCCUCUCGGGUUACCGAAUUCAGACAAACUCCGAAUGCCAAUUAAUUUAACUUGGGAGUCAGAACAUGGGUGAUAAGGUCCGUGUUCGAAAGGGAAACAGCCCAGACCACCAGCUAAGGUCCCAAAAUAUAUGUUAAGUGGAAAAGGAUGUGGCGUUGCCCAGACAACUAGGAUGUUGGCUUAGAAGCAGCCAUCAUUUAAAGAGUGCGUAAUAGCUCACUAGUCGAGUGACACUGCGCCGAAAAUGUACCGGGGCUAAACAUAUUACCGAAGCUGUGGAUUGUCCUUUGGACAAUGGUAGGAGAGCGUUCUAAGGGCGUUGAAGCAUGAUCGUAAGGACAUGUGGAGCGCUUAGAAGUGAGAAUGCCGGUGUGAGUAGCGAAAGACGGGUGAGAAUCCCGUCCACCGAUUGACUAAGGUUUCCAGAGGAAGGCUCGUCCGCUCUGGGUUAGUCGGGUCCUAAGCUGAGGCCGACAGGCGUAGGCGAUGGAUAACAGGUUGAUAUUCCUGUACCACCUAUAAUCGUUUUAAUCGAUGGGGGGGACGCAGUAGGAUAGGCGAAGCGUGCGAUUGGAUUGCACGUCUAAGCAGUAAGGCUGAGUAUUAGGCAAAUCCGGUACUCGUUAAGGCUGAGCUGUGAUGGGGAGAAGACAUUGUGUCUUCGAGUCGUUGAUUUCACACUGCCGAGAAAAGCCUCUAGAUAGAAAAUAGGUGCCCGUACCGCAAACCGACACAGGUAGUCAAGAUGAGAAUUCUAAGGUGAGCGAGCGAACUCUCGUUAAGGAACUCGGCAAAAUGACCCCGUAACUUCGGGAGAAGGGGUGCUCUUUAGGGUUAACGCCCAGAAGAGCCGCAGUGAAUAGGCCCAAGCGACUGUUUAUCAAAAACACAGGUCUCUGCUAAACCGUAAGGUGAUGUAUAGGGGCUGACGCCUGCCCGGUGCUGGAAGGUUAAGAGGAGUGGUUAGCUUCUGCGAAGCUACGAAUCGAAGCCCCAGUAAACGGCGGCCGUAACUAUAACGGUCCUAAGGUAGCGAAAUUCCUUGUCGGGUAAGUUCCGACCCGCACGAAAGGCGUAACGAUUUGGGCACUGUCUCAACGAGAGACUCGGUGAAAUCAUAGUACCUGUGAAGAUGCAGGUUACCCGCGACAGGACGGAAAGACCCCGUGGAGCUUUACUGUAGCCUGAUAUUGAAAUUCGGCACAGCUUGUACAGGAUAGGUAGGAGCCUUUGAAACGUGAGCGCUAGCUUACGUGGAGGCGCUGGUGGGAUACUACCCUAGCUGUGUUGGCUUUCUAACCCGCACCACUUAUCGUGGUGGGAGACAGUGUCAGGCGGGCAGUUUGACUGGGGCGGUCGCCUCCUAAAAGGUAACGGAGGCGCUCAAAGGUUCCCUCAGAAUGGUUGGAAAUCAUUCAUAGAGUGUAAAGGCAUAAGGGAGCUUGACUGCGAGACCUACAAGUCGAGCAGGGUCGAAAGACGGACUUAGUGAUCCGGUGGUUCCGCAUGGAAGGGCCAUCGCUCAACGGAUAAAAGCUACCCCGGGGAUAACAGGCUUAUCUCCCCCAAGAGUUCACAUCGACGGGGAGGUUUGGCACCUCGAUGUCGGCUCAUCGCAUCCUGGGGCUGUAGUCGGUCCCAAGGGUUGGGCUGUUCGCCCAUUAAAGCGGUACGCGAGCUGGGUUCAGAACGUCGUGAGACAGUUCGGUCCCUAUCCGUCGUGGGCGUAGGAAAUUUGAGAGGAGCUGUCCUUAGUACGAGAGGACCGGGAUGGACAUACCUCUGGUGUACCAGUUGUCGUGCCAACGGCAUAGCUGGGUAGCUAUGUGUGGACGGGAUAAGUGCUGAAAGCAUCUAAGCAUGAAGCCCCCCUCAAGAUGAGAUUUCCCAACUUCGGUUAU
rnacentral:rRNA from 1 species